rnacentral:rRNA from 1 species
AGUGAACGCUGGCGGUAGGCCUAACACAUGCAGGUCGAACGGCAGCACAGUAAGAGCUUGCUCUUACGGGUGGCGAGUGGCGGACGGGUGAGGAAUACAUCGGAAUUUACUUUUUCGUGGGGGAUAACGUAGGGAAACUUACGCUAAUACCGCAUACGACCUACGGGUGAAAGCAGGGGAUCUUCGGACCUUGCGCGAUUGAAUGAGCCGAUGUCGGAUUAGCUAGUUGGCGGGGUAAAGGCCCACCAAGGCGACGAUCCGUAGCUGGUCUGAGAGGAUGAUCAGCCACACUGGAACUGAGACACGGUCCAGACUCCUACGGGAGGCAGCAGUGGGGAAUAUUGGACAAUGGGCGCAAGCCUGAUCCAGCCAUACCGCGUGGGUGAAGAAGGCCUUCGGGUUGUAAAGCCCUUUUGUUGGGAAAGAAAAGCAGCAGGUUAAUACCCCGCUGUUCUGACGGUACCCAAAGAAUAAGCACCGGCUAACUUCGUG